GAUGAACGCUGGCGGCGUGCCUAAUACAUGCAAGUCGAGCGAACGGACGAGAAGCUUGCUUCUCUGAUGUUAGCGGCGGACGGGUGAGUAACACGUGGAUAACCUACCUAUAAGACUGUGAUAACUUCGGGAAACCGGAGCUAAUACCGGAUAAUAUUUUGAACCGCAUGGUUCAAAAGUGAAAGACGGUCUUUCUGUCACUUAUAGAUGGAUCCGCGCUGCAUUAGCUAGUUGGUAAGGUAACGGCUUACCAAGGCAACGAUGCAUAGCCGACCUGAGAGGGUGAUCGGCCACACUGGAACUGAGACACGGUCCAGACUCCUACGGGAGGCAGCAGUAGGGAAUCUUCCGCAAAGGGCGAAAGCCUGACGGAGCAACGCCGCGUGAGUGAUGAAGGUCUUCGGAUCGUAAAACUCUGUUAUUAGGGAAGAACAUAUGUGUAAGUAACUGUGCACAUCUUGACGGUACCUAAUCAGAAAGCCACGGCUAACUACGUG
rnacentral:rRNA from 1 species